rnacentral:rRNA from 1 species
UACGGAGGGUGCAAGCGUUGUCCGGAAUCACUGGGCGUAAAGGGCGCGUAGGCGGCUCAUGAAGGCUGUGGUGAAAGUCCGGGGCUCAACCUCGGAUCGGCCGUGGCGACUCGUGGGCUGGAGCACUGUAGAGGCGGGUGGAAUUCCGGGUGUAGCGGUGGAAUGCGUAGAGAUCCGGAAGAACACCAGUGGCGAAGGCGGCCCGCUGGGCAGUGGCUGACGCUGAGGCGCGACAGCGUGGGGAGGCAAACAGG